CCCCUAUUGAUGCAGGCCAGAAUCCCAUUGGCUUUUUUAGCUGCCGCAUCACAUUGUUGGCUCAUGUUUAACUUGUUGUCCACGAGGACUCCAAGGUCUUUUUCGCACACACUGCUGUUUGUGUGCUGAAAGCACUGUCCUGGCUGCCUUGGUUCAAGAGGAAGACGAGGGUGCCAUCCCUUGCUCUGCCUCAAAGCCGCAACUUUCCUUGGGUGGGCUCUCAUGACUAAGGCGUGUCCGGAGUUGAGUCAAUGAGCAGAUGCCACCUUGGGGUUGCCUUUCCCAAGGGGUCUAAGCUGGACGGAGCAGGUCAAAGGUCUGCGGCUGGCUCCCUCCCUGGCCGCCCCUCCCGCCGGGAUCCGUUUCCACUGGUCGCUCCUUCCCCACGUGGAGUGGGAGGGGGGGGGGGCUGAGAGAGAGAGGCUGGAGGGAGAAGAAGAAGGGGGGAAACCCAGCCCCGCGCCUCUCUUAUUUCUUCUCCCUCCCUGCCGGCUUCUGCCGCAUUCGCUUCCGAUCGGACUUGCAGAGGAGCAGCCGCCGAGCGCCGCCGCCCCACCCCCGCCAUGGCUACCCCCGCCACCACCCACGACGAUACCAACAGUCACAUGGACCCCUUCACCUAUGGUAAGUAAUAUAUUCCUAUUGAGAGUCUUUUGUCCCAUACCAGGAGAGAAGGUCUUUCUAGCCACAACAGGA
rnacentral:lncRNA from 11 species